GCCCUUCCUAUGAAUAUUCAGGCGGGGUGUCCCAACUUCCCGGGAGGCUGAGGCUGGAGGAUCGCUUGAGCUCACGAGUUCUGGGCUGCAGUGCGCUAUGCCGAUCGAGUGUCCGCACUAAGUUCAGCAUCAAUAUGGUGACUUCCCGGGAGUGGGGGACCACCAGCUUGCCUUAGGAGGGGUGAACCGGCCCAGGUCGGAAACGGAGCAGGUCAAAACUCCCGUGCUGAUCAGUAGUGGGAUCGCGCCUGUAAAUAGCCACUGUACUCCAGCCUGGGCAACAUAGCAAGACCCUGUCUCU
ensembl:misc_RNA Metazoa_SRP Metazoan signal recognition particle RNA